AGACCAAAAAUUUCUGCAUAGUCCACUUUUCUAUAAUAUCCGCUGUAUUUCUGCAAUCACCAAUUAAAUGCGACGAACGUAAGUAGGGGCUCUUACACUGUAAUAAUUGCUAUCGUUAAACGCUAUUUAAAGGGUGGGGCCAAAUGAACAUCGGGUCUAAGAAAAGUCGACUACCAUAGCGGCAAAUUACGCGCGUAAUGAGAACGAAUGAGUUCACGGUUCGAAAGACUCGUUAACAUCGAGUUCGAAUUGAAGAUUGUCCUUAUGGAAAGCGAUACAAGAGCAAAACUUCUCAGUUAAAGAAAUUACCAGCGUUUUUGUGCGCAUUUUUAAACUUACAAUUCAAGAAUUUACGAAAAUGGAUUUUAUUAUAACGUUUUUAAUUAACAAAUGCGUUUUUAAUUCAGCGUAAUUAACAUAAUAUAAAAAAUUUAUUAAAUUUGAUAUUAUUUUCUUUAGACAUUGCAUGUACUUUUCUACAACUUUAUAUCUUAUUGUUAGUGCUAUAAACUUGAAUAAGGCACGCUUUCAGUUACAAACUUAUGUCGAAAUCAAAAUUCAAACAGUUUUGGAAAAAUAAGGCCAGCAGCACAUAAAUACGUAAUAAAAUCUUGUCUUUAAAUAAGUUCAUUACAGACUUUAUUCCAACAAAAAUUGGAUUUGAAGAUUACCUGCCAAAAUAUUUAAUUAAGAGCUUGUAAAAGUAAUGGUACAGUUUCCGAGAGCUGGUGUAUAUACGUAACUCUGCAACUGGUCGAUAAGAUGGAAUCUGCCUGUUAACAGGAUUUCAAGCAGAAAGGGAAGGGUUUUGGUCUGGCCACUUGCCGUGGAAACUUUUUGUUCGUGACAAAGCUAUGCCGCAAGCUAGGUCAAGAUUCUCCGAAGGCAGAGCGCUCAUGGAAACUAUGUUAAAUUGUUUUUCCGUUGUUAAGUAACCAGGUGAGAAUUUCCAACUCUACUCUUGCAAAAUUCGUAACAAAUAUAUGCAUUGUUCUUUAAUAAUAGAUUUUAUUAUAACGUUUUUCAUAUAACACAUAAUUUUUCAUAUAACAAAAUAAUGUGCAAUAAAGAGAUCUACAAAAUAUUUUGUAUUGAAUUUUACAUUUAAAAAGAACUAUAUCUUUCAAACAUCCGAUACACUUUUCAAAUUCUAGUACAUCUAUUGUCAUAAGUAUUAUCAUAUAUAGAAUCAUAUAGAAUAUAUAAAAAUUUAUCAAGUUUUUUCUGACAAUAAGACAAAAGUUAAUAA